rnacentral:rRNA from 1 species
UCCGUAGGUGAACCUGCGGAAGGAUCAUUAACAAAAACUUGAACUAAUAACUAACUGAGGUUAUAGAGCUUGCUCUAUACUCUAAACUUAAAAAUUAAGCCAAUAACUGAAUUCUGGUUGAUAAAACCUAAAUUUUCAACGAUGGAUGUCUUGGCUCCCAUAUCGAUGAAGAACGCAGCAAGAAUGCGAUAUGCAAUGUGAAUUGCAGAACCAUGAAUCAUUGGAUCUUUGAACGCAACUGGCGCCGGUAAAACCGGUAUACUUGUUUCAGUGUGCUCACUCAACUUUACAACUUAAAUGUAAGAGAAAUUCUCUUAUUAAAUAUAUGCUCUUAGUAGCAGUCACAAUCAUUUGUGAACUACUUUGUAGAAUUUUAUACUUAUUUGCACCUGAAAUCAAGUAAGAUGACCCGCUGGACUUAA